GGCGUCAUAGCUCAGCUGGGAGAGCAACAGACUGAAGUACCCGUACACUGGUAGGUGUUCAUCUGGAGGUCCCGUGUUCAAUCCACGGUGAUGCCA